UGUUUAUCCAUUCAUUAAUAGACAGAAUAGUAACUUUUAAGUAUUAAAAUUGAAAGUUAAACACUAGUGUAUCCACAGUUAAAGUGGGUAACACCAAGAUUAUACAUAAUAUGAGCAAAAUGCUGUAUAGAAAGGAACAUAAAUUAAUCAUGUUUUUGUUUAAGUGUGAUGUUUUUCUAAAGGCCAUUUUAGCUUGAUUUUAAGAAAUACAUGAAUGUACUAUGUUCAUCAAUAAGUUAUUCAUUUGAAAUUUGAGAACAUUAGACAAAUAGAGAUUGUGUGUCAUGUGUUUAUGAUCAUAUUUUGAAUUUAUCUCAUCAUUAUUUGAGAGAAACAUAUAAAGGAAAGGAAAUGAGUAUAAAUGAGUCAACAUGACUUAAAAUAAUUUUUGUAACAGCAAAUAUUACAUUUUAAUAUCACGUAAAAUUAUAUCUUUAUAGGGGACUUUUCUUCAACGGAGGACUUCUGGAAGGGUCUGCUGUGCAUUUCCCAAUAUAGAAGUAGGCUAUGGUGAGUUGAAGUGACUGUUCUACCUUAAAGGAGUGGUUCAGUACCAGCUAUAGAAAAUCCUGCAGGUGCUUGACAACAAAUUGGGUCUUUCAUACAUUACUUACUUAAUCUCCAUAGCAAUGUUGCAAGUGCCUAAAAAGCAUAAACACACCCUCGAUCUGUGCUGCUUUGCUGAUUAGCUGCCUCCUCCCACAUCGUUGAUAAGAGAGAUUUGUACAACUCCUGUGUGCCAGGCCCUGGUCAAAGCUGAUGGUCUCUCCUCUCCCUCACAGACUGCCUCUAAGCUCUUCAGAUUCAUGAAUUUUAACAAGUCCAUGAGCCAGCUCUCAACCAUGUCAUGAUGUGCCAAAAAAACCUGAUGUUCUUCACUGUUUCCUUGGCAUAUGCCCAGUUGGCAUUCAGUUGGAUGACUUAGGUACCUUCCAGGUAUAUGAAAGUCUGAAACAGUAGUCACAGAACAUGACGUGGAAUGAAUUCAGAAAUUGAACAUGAUUGUCAGCACAUGAAAGGUGCCUCAGGGAGAGUGCAGUGUGGUCGGAAACAAGGACAGAGGCAUGGAGCACACCACUGGCAGCAUGGUGUCCCAAAGUCAGGUGUUGAUCAUGGAGCUGCCAAACAGAAGAGACAUGAGUUAUGACUGACAAGUGGUGACUGUGAGAUGCACAGGGAACAGAUGGAGCAGCUGGUGCGUGGAUUUGCCAUAACAAGUACAUUACUUAUGUCUGGUUUAUCAUACGAUGCUGGUCUUUAUAACUAAUCAUUAACCUUCUACACUAUUUUCCAUAAGCUUUACCCAUGGAUGAAAGAUUUUUUAACUUUUCCUCACAUGAUAGAUCUAGACUUUGAAAUAUUGAACUAAGGGGAAAAAACCUGGAAAGUAUGUUGAGAAGUACGCACAAUUGCUGCCCUGCCUAACUCUUCAGGUGACAAGUAGCUUUCUAAAGCUUGGAACUGUCAAAGGACUUCUGAGUAUGCUUCCAGCCACAAGUCAGUGCUGACAUCUUAACCAGUGUGUGGAGGAGGAGAGCAUUGGUUUCCACACUGAGGCAGCUCUGUGGUGGUUGUUCCUCUCAGGUACCCUCUACUGGUAAACUUGAACUAUACUGACAGACCAUAGCACAGCUAUGUCCCCAUUGUGCUGGAGUUUGUAUGAAUAGUUAGGAUGUUAAUACUACAUUUUUUUGCCUUCUUUCUCAUAGCUAAUGUCUAUGGAACUAGCUGUAUUACUUGUUUUUUGUUUUGUUUUUUAUUGUUAUAGCUCUGUUAAAUGGCCCCCCAAAUUUCCAGAUAGUAUCCCUAACUGCAACAGAAGAAUUUUAUGGAUCCUUAACUCACAAUAAGUUUGACUUUCAACAAUUUGUUCAGUGUGAAUAUUUUUAUGUCUUUUUCAUGCUUCCACUUACUUGAAACUCAGUUUAUUCUUAAAAACUGUCUAGUAGAACCAGCUUAUUAAGUGUUACUUUGGUAUGCAGUGAAAUGGUCAAUUAAGCAAUAUUGAAGAAAGAUACUUUGACUGUUUUGAAAUUUAUUAUGAAUCAUAAAACAAAAAUCAUUUCAUAGUAUUUCAGAGAUAAAGUCUCAACUGUUCUUAGUCCAGUAUGUCAGUAGAAUUUAUAGUGCAAAUAAAAUUUGCUUAAUUAAAAGAUUUUUUUUGAAAGUCCGUCUAUUAUCAGAAAGCACCAGGAAGAAGUUGUAUUAGUAGCUGCUGUUUUCAUUGGAAGAGUUUUUCAUUAAAUUUCUGUGUAAAAUCUAUUCUUAAUAAGAGAUUUUGUUUGUUUUCCAAACAUACUAUAUAGUAUGAUCUUUUGCAAUCGAAAUGGAUAAGGAAGAAACGAGUGAGGGCUGGUGAUGGUCUUAUAACCACUACAGAAACUCUGUGUUUAGUGCUGUAUCUUGUCUUCAUUCUCAUGUUGAUUAAUUACUAGAUGUUGUCAGUCAUGUCUCCAAUGAAAACAGGAGUGAUAGGGCUUUCUGAGUCAGUUGAUGAAUGAAUCAUACUAAUUUUUAGCAGUUUUUUCAUAUAAUUUUGUCUCCAUCUUUUCAGUAUGUUGACCAAGUUCUUCUAGGUGGUAAAGUUUGUGUUCCAGGUAUAUUGAGUUUAUGUAUUUAUCAUGUAUGCACUAUUGUUAGGUGAAAACAUACUUCAACUUGAUGGGCAGCUAUUAUUCAGUAUUCAUGUAUACUAAUGUUGAUAUAUAUUAGAUACUGUGUUUUACUAUACCUACAAGGUUAUACAAAAUUCUUUUCUUUUACUCAUGAGUUCCAUUUGUUUGGAUUUUUGGUUUGUUUAGAUUUUUUUUCUUCGUGUGUUAAAAAAUAUAGUUUAAUGCUUUUCCUGGUACCUUGCCCUUUGUUGGCAUAAUUGGAAUAUAAAUCGUUCAAAUCUCCACAAUUAAGAGUUUCAGAAAUAUGUGAUACUGGCCACUUGACUUAAUAAAGACUAGAUAUACAAAACAGGUAGAAAAAAAAUACCUAUUUCCUCACUAAAAACAAUUGAAUAUUUUUCUUAUUAUUAGCAAAUAUUAGUAAUAGCAUAGACUAUGAAUAAUUUCUAUAUGUUUUGGCAAGCACAUAGUGAGACAAUGCUUAUUACAGUAAGUACGCAUUUCAGUUAACUAACUGGGCACUGUAAUUCCAAUAGGGCUGUAAUGCAUGGAAACUCACUCUUCAGAUUCCUUAGAGCUGUAACCUGAGACAGUUGAAGGGCCCAUAGUUCAUUUGGGAG
rnacentral:lncRNA from 1 species